rnacentral:rRNA from 1 species
GAUGAACGCUGGCGGCGUGCUUAACACAUGCAAGUCGAACGAAGAUGCCGGAGUGCUUGCACUUUGGCAGACUGAGUGGCGGACGGGUGAGUAACGCGUGGGUAACCUGCCUUAUACAGGGGGAUAACAGUUGGAAACGACUGCUAAUACCGCAUAAGCGCACGGUAUCGCAUGAUACAGUGUGAAAAACUCCGGUGGUACAAGAUGGACCCGCGUCUGAUUAGCUUGUUGGUGAGGUAACGGCCCACCAAGGCGACGAUCAGUAGCCGACUUGAGAGAGUGAUCGGCCACAUUGGGACUGAGACACGGCCCAAAACUCCUACGGGAGGCAGCAGUAGGGAAUAUUGCACAAUGGGGGAAACCCUGAUGCAGCGACGCCGCGUGAAGGAAGAAGUAUUUCGGUAAUGUAAAACUUCUAAUCAGCAAGGAAGAAAAAUGACGGUACUUGACUAAGAAGCCCCGGCUAAAUAACGUG